UACGUAGGGGGCCAGCGUUGUUCGGAAUUACUGGGUGUAAAGGGUGCGUAGGCGGGUCUUUAAGUCAGGGGGGAAAUCCUGGAGCUCAACUCCAGAACUGCCUUUGAUACUGAAGAUCUUGAGUUCGGGAGAGGUGAGUGGAACUGCGAGUGUAGAGGUGAAAUUCGUAGAUAUUCGCAAGAACACCAGUGGCGAAGGCGGCUCACUGGCCCGAUACUGACGCUGAGGCACGAAAGCGUGGGGAGCAAACAGG
rnacentral:rRNA from 1 species